ACAAUAAACAAAAGUGUGUGUGUGUGUGUAUGGCAAAUACAUGGUGGGGCGAAUGGCGGCAUCCAUUGCGAAAUGGUUCGUGAAACGUGACUUGUUGAGACUGAAUUGAAUUGGGCUCGUACAACAGACAGACGAGUCGCGGACGUCGGCAGGCGCGGCGCUGGGACCUAGAGCCGAAUGUAUCUCUUGAGUACAUAGGCAUGCCGCAGUGAAACUGAUCACCUACAGAACCGCACUAAACACAACAAAGGUGUGCAUGGUUCGAAAGGCCCUUCGUUACCGAGGGACGUAGGUACUCAAGAUGUAAAAAUACAAAAAGUUUCCAUCAAAGGGAUUCCUUGAAGCUGCGAUCCUUGCUCCUUGGCUCAAAGAUAAAGUGAUUAAUGUAGCACCCGCGAUUAUAUCUCCAACACGAUAACCGGCGGUGCCCCUCUACGAGCCAUUUUAUACUCUACCCAUAUCGCUUUAAAGGUUAACUUUGAGCGAUACCCGAAUACGUGUGAUUGAUGCUGACAUAUACAUAAAUAUACUAUUUGCGAUGUCGUCGACUA